UUCGUAGGUGGCUUGCUAAGUCAGACGUGAAAUCCCUCAGCUUAACUGGGGAACUGCGUCUGAUACUGGCGAGCUUGAGUGCAGGAGAGGAACGCGGAAUUCCAGGUGUAGCGGUGAAAUGCGUAGAUAUCUGGAGGAACACCGGUGGCGAAGGCGGCGUUCUGGACUGCAACUGACACUGAUGAACGAAAGCCAGGGGAGCAAACG
rnacentral:rRNA from 1 species